GAUGAACGCUGGCGGCGUGCCUAAUAUAUGCAAGUCGAGCGAACAGACGAGGAGCUUGCUCCUUUGACGUUAGCGGCGGACGGGUGAGUAACACGUGGAUAACCUACAUAUUAGACUGGGAUUACUUCGGGACACCGGAGCUAAUCCCGGAUAAUAUAUUGAACCGCCUGGUUCAAUAGUGAAAGACGGUUUUGCUGUCACUUAUAGAUCGAUCCGCGCCGCAUUAGUUAGUUGGUACGGUAACGGCUUACCAAGGCGAUGAUGCUUAGCCGACCUGAGCGGGUGAUCGGCCACACUGGAACUAAGACACGUUCCACACUCCUACGGGAGGCAGCAUUAUGGAAUCUUCCGCAAAGGGCGAAAGCCUUACGGAGCAACGCCGCGUCAGUGAUGAGGGUCUUCGGAUCGUAAAACUCUGUUAUGAGGGAAGAACAAAUGUGUAAGUAACUAUGCACGUCUUGACGGUACCUAAUCAGAAAGCCACGGCUAACUACGUG
rnacentral:rRNA from 1 species